rnacentral:rRNA from 1 species
ACGAACGCUGGCGGCGUGCUUAACCCAUGCAAGUCGGACGGAAAGGCCCUGCUUUUGUGGGGUGCUCGCGUGGCGAACGGGGGAGUAACACGUGAGUAACCUGCCCUUGACUUUGGGAUAACUUCAGGAAACUGGGGCUAAUACCGGAUAGGAGCUCCUGCUGCAUGGUGGGGGUUGGAAAGUUUCGGCGGUUGGGGAUGGACUCGCGGCUUAUCAGCUUGUUGGUGGGGUAGUGGCUUACCAAGGCUUUGACGGGUAGCCGGCCUGAGAGGGUGACCGGCCACAUUGGGACUGAGAUACGGCCCAGACUCCUACGGGAGGCAGCAGUGGGGAAUAUUGCACAAUGGGCGGAAGCCUGAUGCAGCAACGCCGCGUGCGGGAUGACGGCCUUCGGGUUGUAAACCGCUUUCGCCUGUGACGAAGCGUGAGUGACGGUAAUGGGUAAAGAAGCACCGGCUAACUACGUG